UCCCCAAUAGUCUAGUGGAUUGGUGUUGGACUUUCACUCUAGAGAGCUGGGUUUAAUCCCCACGCUGUGACA